UACGUAGGGUGCGAGCGUUAAUCGGAAUUACUGGGCGUAAAGGGUGCGUAGGCGGUGCGGAAAGUUGGGUGUGAAAUCCCUCGGCUCAACCGAGGAACUGCGCCCAAAACUACCGUACUCGAGGAAGAUAGAGGUGAGCGGAACUUACGGUGGAGCGGUGAAAUGCGUUGAUAUCGUAAGGAACACCCGUGGCGAAAGCGGCUCACUGGGUCUUUUCUGACGCUGAUGCACGAAAGCUAGGGGAGCAAACGGG
rnacentral:rRNA from 1 species